GAGCAAGCAAAACUGAGAAGAGACAAAACUACAUCUUCGAGAGAACUAAGGUAUUUCCGACUUGAAAUUUUUGAAAUCAGACUUGGAAGUUUCGUAGGAAAUUACUAAGAAAUAAAAACGCCUUUGAGACUGCCAUAUAACUUUAGGGAACGUAAAAUCUAGGUGGAUAGUCUAGCGAACUAAGUCUUAGGCGAUUUUUCCUGUCUCGAUAUAUCAUUCCAUAAUUGUUCAUCCAUAUCUUGCAAACCGAUCUAAACUCUCCUAAAAUCGAGAAACGAUCGCACGCAUAUCAAGCUCGCUUCCUAAGGAGAGAAAAAACUAGAGACAUCAACGUCGUCUUAAAACCGAUUCGUUUCUGGCAAUUUUCUCGGAACCGACAUAUUCAAAGUCGUCAACAUGGAAACAACCAAAUCACAGUCCAAACGUCAUCUUUUAAUCGUCCCGGAUUAUCGAUCAUUCCAAACCUCAGAAGAAGAAACGUACACAACCCUUCAAAUUAUCGGUUCAACCGUUUUCUUCCGUAAAAAAAAAAGAAAAAAAAGGGGAGUAGGUACGUAUACUAUACACGUAUACUUCCAAACUUCAAAAAACUUUUGCAAAUCGUUAAAAAAACGAUUGUGUCAAAGCAAAUCGUCCCAAACAGGCAAACGACAAUCUAAAAUUUGUCUAAAUGCUAGCAACAUACGAUCACAAACAUAAUCUCAAAGACUAUACAUCAUUUCUUGUCGCAAUCAUGCGUACAAAAAACCUGUAUCAAUAUCAAACUGAAACUCGACGAUUAGCCAAAGUAUUGAACCCUUUUCCGGCUUUAGAAAGCCAUUUUCGUUCAAAAAUUU
rnacentral:lncRNA from 1 species